rnacentral:lncRNA from 1 species
GAGUCUAGACGACUUGAACCGUCAUUGCUUGGGCCUGCAUGGCCUUGGUGGGCAUGACUUGGUCUCGUCUCUAGGCCCUCACCACCUUGGUUGAUGUUUGAUGGGCCUUGUCAGCCUUUGCCCUCGUGGCUUUGAGUUGUGUGGGCUUGGAUGGCGUGGCCCUACUCUACACGGUAGUUGGCUUGGCUUGGGUCAGCACUACGCCAGUUGGCGUGGUCUGGGCCUCGGCCUUCGUACACAAGGCUCGCACAAUCUGGGCUUGUGGUCUCUAGGUCAUUAUUGCUUCCGAGCUUCAUGCAACAUCAGCAUUUGCCGCUGAUGAUAUCAUGCUAGUUGAAACCAAGGUUGUAGGGCGUUGUGACACCUUUUUUGCCACUUGAUCUUCAUCGUUGAUCUCAAGAUCAAUGAUGAGAUCUAAAGGCCUGUUAACAUUGCCUAUGUCAUAAUCCUUUAACAUGAGCAGUGCCUUAGGCACUGGGCAUGAGGUAAAGCCAUUAGCAUAAGUUGAGGUCUUUUCCUUUCAUUGAUCCUCACCGUUAACUUGAGGAUCAAUGGUGCACUCAAGGUGGGCGACAUCACCUGCCACCUCUCUUUUCUCAUAGAUAGAGAGAAUGGUGACAGUUAUUGUCACCUUAUUUAGGGCAACUGAUGCCACUUGAUCUUCAUUGUUGAUCUCAAGAUCAACGGUGAGAUCUAAAGGCCCAUUAGCAUCGUCCAUAAAAAACUUGUCUAAGACAAGUGGCACCUCAAACAUUAGGCUCAAGGUAAAGUUGUUAGCAUCAGCUGACACCUUUUCCUCUUGUCGAUCCUCACUGUUAAUUUGAUGAUCAACGGUGUGGCUAAAGGGGGUGGCACCACUUGCCAUCCCACCUUUCCCUUAGAUCAAGAGAAUAACGACAACAAUAGUCACCUUAUUUGUGGCAACUGAGGGGGCCCCGAUUAACAUCGAAUCACAACCUUUCAUGAGGUGGUCAUCUAGCUCAUUAACGACUUUGAUUUUUGGGCCAUCAAUAGGCCCCUUCGAUGCCUUUUUAUCGUUGCUUGAAGGGAUAGGUGAACCCAUCCCUUUGGGCAUGUUAAGAGGUGGAAUAGUAAUCGUCACUAUCACAUGUCAAUUUUCUAUUCACUCAUAUGUUAGACCCAUUUUUUAAUUGGGUGAACAUGAGUUCAUUGAUGAAAUCUCUUGUUCACUCAUCAACUAAGCAUGGAAGAAAAUGAUUAAGCAAAGAAAAAAUGUAGAUCACACAAAUACAAUUUUAAUGAUAUAAAAAUAUUUAACUUCCACAGAGUAAAUAGAG